rnacentral:rRNA from 1 species
AGCGGCAGACCUAACACAUGCAAGUCGAGCGGCAUCGGAAAAAGAGGAUUUAUCCUCUUUUUGUCGGCAAGCGGCGAACGGGUGAGUAAUAUCUGGGGAUCUACCCAAUGGAGGGGGAUAACUACUGGAAACGGUAGCUAAUACCGCAUAAUGUCACAUGACCAAAAUGGGGGACCUUUUUUGGCCUCAUGCCAUCGGAUGAACUCAGAUGGGAUUAGCUAGUAGGUGUGGUAAUGGCUCACCUAGGCAACGAUCCCUAGCUGGUCUGAGAGGAUGACCAGCCACACUGGAACUGAGACACGGUCCAGACUCCUACGGGAGGCAGCAGUGGGGAAUAUUGCACAAUGGGGGAAACCCUGAUGCAGUCAUGCCGCGUGUGUGAAGAAGGCCUUAGGGUUGUAAAGCACUUUCAAUAGGAAAGAAGUUAAUAAUGUAAAUAGCGUUAUUAAUUGACGUUACCUAUAGUAAGAAGCACCGGCUAACUCCGUGCCAGCAGCCGCGGUAAUACGGAGGGUGCAAGCGUUAAUCGGAAUUACUGGGCGUAAAGAGUACGUAGGCGGUUUGUUAAGUCAGAUGUGAAAUCCCUGGGCCUAACCUAGGAACUGUGUUUGAAACUGGCAAACUAGAGUUUCGUAGAGGGGGGUAGAAUUCCAGGUGUAGCGGUGAAAUGCGUAGAGAUCUGGAGGAAUAUCAGUGGCGAAGGCGGCCCCCUGGACGAAAACUGACGCUCAGGUACGAAAGCGUGGGGAGCAAACAGGAUUAGAUACCCUGGUAGUCCAUGCCGUAAACGAUGUCGAUUUGAAGGUUGUAGUCUUAGAACUAUUGGCUUUCGAAGCUAACGCGUUAAAUCGACCGCCUGGGGAGUACGACCGCAAGGUUAAAACUCAAAUGAAUUGACGGGGGCCCGCACAAGCGGUGGAGCAUGUGGUUUAAUUCGAUGCAACGCGAAGAACCUUACCUACUCUUGACAUCCAAAGAAUUUAGCAGAGAUGCUUUAGUGCCUUAGGGAACUUUGAGACAGGUGCUGCAUGGCUGUCGUCAGCUCGUGUUGUGAAAUGUUGGGUUAAGUCCCGCAACGAGCGCAACCCUUGCCCUUUGUUGCCAUCGAUACGGUCGGGAACUCAAAGGAGACUGCCAGUGACAAACUGGAGGAAGGUGGGGACGACGUCAAGUCAUCAUGGCCCUUACGAGUAGGGCUACACACGUGCUACAAUGGUGUAUACAAAGAGAAGCGGUCUUGCGAAAGUUAGCCAAUCUCAUCAAAGUACAUCGUAGUCCAGAUUGAAGUCUGCAACUCGACUUCAUGAAGUCGGAAUCGCUAGUAAUCGUGUAUCAGAAUGUCACGGUGAAUACGUUCCCGGGCCUUGUACACACCGCCCGUCACACCAUGGGAGUGGAUUGCAAAAGAAGUGAGUAGCUUAACCGUAAAUGGAGGGCGCUUACCACUUUGUGGUUCAUGACUGGGGUG